rnacentral:rRNA from 1 species
ACACGCUGGCGGCGUGGAUUAGGCAUGCAAGUCGAACGGUGUCAUCCUUUCGGGGAUGAGAGAGUGGCGAACGGGUGAGUAACACGUAGGUGAUCUACCCUCAAGACGGGACAACCCAGGGAAACUUGGGCUAAUACCGGAUGUGAGCUAUCGCGAGAUAGUUUGAAAGGUGGCUUCGGCUGCCGCUUGAGGAUGAGCCUGCGUCCUAUUAGCUAGUUGGUGAGGUAACGGCUCACCGAGGCGAUGAUAGGUAGGCGGCCUUAACGGGUGGUCGCCCACACUGGGAUUGAGAUACGGCCCAGACUCCUACGGGAGGCAGCAGUCGAGAAUAGUCUACAAUGGUCGGAAGACUGAUAGUGCGACGCCGCGUGAACGAUGAAUCCCUUCGGGGUGUAAAGUUCUUUUAUAUGUGAGCAGUGCUUCUUAUAUUAACAGUAUGGGGAGAGAGAUAUUAGCAUAUGAAUAAGCAACGGCUAACUCCGUG